AAACCAACAGGGAUUGCCCUAGUAACGGCGAGUGAAGCGGCAACAGCUCAAAUUUGAAAUCUGGCUCUUUUAGAGUCCGAGUUGUAAUUUGCAGAGGGCGCUUUGGCGUCGGCAGCGGUCCAAGUUCUUUGGAACAGGACGUCACAGAGGGUGAGAAUCCCGUACGUGGUCGCUAGCCUUCGCCGUGUAAAGCCCCUUCGACGAGUCGAGUUGUUUGGGAAUGCAGCUCUAAAUGGGAGGUAAAUUUCUUCUAAAGCUAAAUACUGGCCAGAGACCGAUAGCGCACAAGUAGAGUGAUCGAAAGAUGAAAAGCACUUUGGAAAGAGAGUCAAAUAGCACGUGAAAUUGUUGAAAGGGAAGCGCUUGCAGCCAGACUUGCCUGUAGUUGCUUAUCCAGACUUCUGUCUGGUGCACUCUUCUGCAGGCAGGCCAGCAUCAGUUUGGGCGGUUGGAUAAAGGUCUCUGUCACGUACCUCUCUUCGGGGAGGCCUUAUAGGGGAGACGACAUGCAACCAGCCUGGACUGAGGUCCGCGCAUCUGCUAGGAUGCUGGCGUAAUGGCUGUAAGCGGC
rnacentral:rRNA from 1 species